AGUCACUCAGUUGGGAUGGGUGGGAGUAGGAGGUUUGUGGGGUGGCUUGUGCGGAGGAGUUGGCAGCUUCUUUCCAGGACCUGGUUGCUUCUCUGCUGGAGUUGAAGGAGGCUUAAUCUUCCGAGGUGGCUUGUAUGAGUCUUCAGCAUUCUCAGCUGGAGGGUGACCAGGGUUGUGACCAUAAUGUGGUGGCUUCUCUCCCUUAGGUGGUUUGCCAACUGGGGUUGGUGGCUUGUAUGAGUCUUCAGCAUUCUCAGCAGGAGGGUGACCAGGGUUGUGACCAUAAUGUGGUGGCUUCUCUCCCUUAGGUGGUUUGCCAACUGGGGUUGGUGGCUUGUGUUCUGGGAGUGGCUUCUCCCCCUUGGGAGGUUUUUCCAAUGGGGUUGGUUUGUGUUCAGGAGGUGGCUUCUCCACUGGAGGCUUGUGUUCAGGAGGUGGCUUCUCCACCGGUGGCUUGUGUUCAGGAGGUGGCUUCUCCACCGGAGGCUUAUGCUCUGGUGGUGGCUUCUCCACCGGAGGCUUAUGCUCUGGUGGUGGCUUCUUGAAUGGGGGAUGCUGAGGGUAAUCAGCAAGUGAGGGGGCGGUGAGAACCACCAGGCCAAGCAACACCACUAGCAAAUAUGUAGGAGACAUCUUUGGGUUUGGGCUCAGAUGGUGCAAAACUAGGAGAAUUGGCUAGCCUUUUAUAGCGGAUCGUACUCAAUAAUGAAAUGACACGUGUCAUUAUGACCCAUGUGUAAUGGGGUCGAUUUGGGUCCUACAGUGUUGAAAACUUCGACAUCCAGUUUUGGCCUUUUGCUUUCUCUACAGCCGCCUUGCUUUUUCCCUCUUUCCUUUUGUUUUCCUCCUGCCCCAUUCUAUCAACUAAACACAAUUAUGUAGUUGUUUAAUUCUUAAAUGAGAUAUUAUCGGUCAAUCGUAUUAUAUUUUAUCAAGAGAGAACGGAGUGCAAUGCAGCUGUAAUUUUAUCGUUUACUUUUAUCUCUUGGACCACUGCAUUUUUGUUAAGAGGUGCAAUAAUACACGUCUUUAUCUGCCAUUCAAUGUUUACAGUAAAGAGAGGGCACAAAACUCUUCACUGCUCUGCAUGUGUCCCAAAAAUGCGAUUGGACAAAUUAUGAUUUGCAUGCUAAAAAGAGGCAAAUGAGGUUAAUUCGCACCAUAAUUAUUUGGUUUUCUGGACACCAUAAAAAGAUGUUAUACAGGCAGGGAAAAACCUUCAGAGUUAGCUACCAAAGAUAAUUAUCAAGCAGAUAUCACCAAGAGAAUUCCAUAGAGUCUGAAUCAAAGACAGAUUGCUCGCUCGUGGGGGUUCUUACUUUCUUUUGGGUAUAACUCACUGAGGUCACUGUCUUUUUUAUUUGCAUUUCACAGUUAGAGUUCUGCUCUGGAAGGUUUGUUCUGGAAACAUAUAAAAGGAGCAUCAUUUUGUUCUUGGGUAACCCAUAGUCGUGAGUGGGUCCAUUUGCAUGCUACUUAGUUGAAAAGUUGGACAAUUUGCUCCGACGCCUACCUCCUGGAUUCCAUGCUCGGUAAAACAAGAAUAAAAAAAAAUAUAUAAUUUACAAAUGGGGGAAAGAAAAAAUGUCGGAAAAAAUAGUAAAAUUCAUGUCACAUGCUAGUGAGAGAAGGGGUUGUUACACUCACUCGAAGUUCUUUUCAAAAUAUCGAAUGGUAUUUUACUUUAUGUGUCAGCGCAGUUGUGAAUGGAACGUGCAAAAGUCCAAAUUGGCGUUUUUAUUUUUCCCAUGUAGGAUGGUGACCUUUAAUAAAUAUUUAAAACAAAAGACGAAAAAAAAAAGGAGGGAAAAGGGAUCACAAAAGAUAAAAUAAUGUUUACAAAAGCUCAAUUAGUUUGCAAAUUACUGUUUGGAUUUUGAUAGUAUUUUAUUUGUCGUUCUAUAUUUGAUGUAAAAGAGAAUUUAAGAUAUUUCCGAAGCAAAAGCAUUAGUUUGCUCUGUGAUGUCCCACAUCGAAUAGGGGAGAAAGUUUCUGGCGCUAUAUAUGUAGAGGCUCCUCUUAACCAAGUAGAUGCGUUUUAAAACCAUGAGGGCCCCCUUAGGUCCAAAGCGGACAAUAUCUACAUGAUUGGGUGUAAGUCAUUACAAAUGGUAUCAGAGCCGAUCCCCGACCCCGGUGUGGGGGUUUGUUUGGCCCUGUAAGGGGUGUUUGUCUGUUUGACCCCACAAUCCCAUGGGACACAACGAGGACGUUGUGUCUGCAUGGGGGGGCGUUUGUGAUGUCCCACAUCGGAUAGGGGAGAAAGUUCCUAGUGCUAUAUAUGUAGAUGUUUCUCUUAACCAAGUAGAUGCAUUUUAAAAUUGUGAGGGCCUCUUUGGGCCCAAAGCGGACAAUAUCUACAUGGUUGAGUGUAAGUCAUUACAUGCUCCAUGUCAAUUUCAGCAUUUCUCAUAUGUUUCACACAUACACAGAAGAGCAUCGUUUUUUAAAGCAUGCAUUUAUGUUGGAUUAAUUUGGAUUUUGUGGGAACUGGGGCAAGGAUCACAUGGAAGAGAGGUUGACUUUUUUCAGUACUUCAAUGGUUGAAAUAUGUGAAGGCUUGAUUGAUACUAAAGCUUGAAAUUGCGACUCUGUCAUUUGUAAAAAAAUAUGACAGCUUCCAUGCUCUCGUUUGGUUGCAUUGUCCGGUCGAGAGGUGCAAAAAGCAUUCUCUCUCUUCUAAUAGUCUUUUCGUUUAAAUCAAGGGAUUUGCCUUCCCGGUCGAGGUCCAAUAGAGGGUAACGGUCACCUACUAAACAUUAAAUGCUCCAACAACUAGUGAACUGAUCGACCCCAGCUCGACUAGUUGAGGUUACUUUUUGGUUUUCUUGUCUCCCGAGGUUAGAAACCUAUAAAUAGAGAGCUUCACUUCAUUUAUGAGUAAGAGAACACCUAAAUUUAUUUGUUUACCUACUUGUUUUUGCCAUAAAAGCUCUCAUUUCUUUUCUUGGUGUAUUAAAUCUCCAUUUGCAUAUCCUUUAGUGCACCUUUGUGAUUCAUUCUAGCCUUGAGUUGUAUUUAAGCCUUUGUUGAGCUAGGUUGAGAGUUUCAUACUUGUUUAUUGAGUGUUAAAGCCUUCAAGUGAGUUAAAACUUGAAGAGAUUGUGUAAGAGCCCAUUGGAGUCGGAAUCCAAGUGUAAAGGUGAUUAAAAGCUUGGUUGAAGCUUCAAGUUAGUGGAACUCUCACUCGGUUAUGAGCUUGAGAAGAGUGGACAUAGACAAGGCAGUGUCGAACCACUAUAAAAUCUGAGUUUGAUUUCUCUAACCUUAUCUCUUUAUAUUUGCUUCUCUUGUGCUUAAAUUUUUUGUGUUUAAAAAGAAUUUUUAAAAACUCAAUUCACCCCCUUCUUGGGAGUUUUUCUCUUUUAAGAUCAGCUUUUAUUUUCUCAAUUGGUAUCAGAACUAUGCCUCUUGUUUAAGACUUAAUCGUCUAAGAGGAAAUGGCUAAUCCAUCAAGUUCAUCUCACAUUGAAAGUUUUGCAACCAAUAGACUUCUUUUUUUUUUUUUGCGGGAACUGAUUAUCCCUAUUGGAAAACUAAAAUGACUUGGUUUUUACAAUCAAUUGAUUUAGAUGUAUGAGAUGCCAUUGAAGAUGACCUAACUUUUCCUUCAAAACUAGUUGAUGGAGUCAUGGUUCCAAAACCUAAGCAAGAAUGGGAUGAGCGUGAUUGAAGAAAUUUUCAAUUAAAUGCUAAAGUCGUUUAUACUUUGCAAUGCUCUAUGGACAGAAAUGAAUAUAAUAGAAUAUGUCAAUGCAAAUCGGUUAAAGAAAUUUGGAGAUUGCUUGAAAUAACUCAUAAAGGAACAAAUCAAGUUAAAGAGUCAAAAAUCAAUUUACUUGUUCAUAGAUAUGAAUUGUUUUUUAUGAAAGAUAAUGAAACUAUUGUUAAGAUGAUCACUAGGUUCACCAACAUUGUUAAUGGUCUUAAAGCCUUGGGAAAGACCUACAAGGAAUCCGAAAACGUGAUGAAGAUCUUGAGGUCACUUCCAUCAAAGUGGCAUACCAAGGUCACCGCAAUUUAAGAAGCAAAAGACUUGAUCAAGCUACCUUUGGAGGAGUUCAUAGGGUCAUUGAUGACAUAUGAAAUCAAUUUGGCAAAGAAGUAACAAAAAGGUGAAGACAAAAAGAAGAAGAACAUAACUCUCAAAGCUACAACUAAGGAAGAAGAAGUUGAAGAAGAAAAACAAAUUGAAGAAGAUGAAGAUUUAGCCCUCAUCACAAGAAAGUUCAACAAAUUCAUGAGGGGUGAAAGGUUUAGAAGAAGAAGGUUCACUUCUAGAAGAGACUUUUCUAAAAAGGAAUCUUCAUCUAAUGGUGACAAAAAGAGAUGGGAAGAGAAAAGAGACUUGGUGUGUUUCAAGUGCAAGAAACCGGGACACAUUAAAUAUGAUUGUCCUCUCUACAAAAGUGAAGUCAAGAGGAAAAAGAAUAAGGCAAUGAUGGCCACUUAGAGUGAAAGUGAAGAUGAAUCAUCCGAAGAAGAAAAUGAGAAAGAAGUGGCAAACAUGUGUUUCAUGGCAAUAGAUGAACUUGAUGAGGUAAAAUCUAACCUUAGUGAUUAAGAUAUACAUGAUGCAUUUGAAGAAUUGUAUGAGGAUUUUUAAAAACUUAGUUUGAAAAAUAUUUCUCUUAAAAAGAAAGUUCAACAACUUGACAAAGAACUUAGAGAAGUAAAAGAAAAAUUUUCAAAUGUUAAAGUUUCUAAAACUCAUCUUGAAAAAGAAAAUGAGAUUCUAAGAAAGAAAAAUGAAUAGUUGAACUCCUCUCUUUCAAUCUUUUCUUCUAGACAAAAAUCUUUUGAAAUGAUUCUAACUAGCUAAAAAUGUGUUUUUGACAAACAAGGGUUAAGAUUUAAAUCUUCAAAAAAUCAAAAGUAUUUUAAAAACUAUUUUGUAAAGGAAUCCACAAGUGCAAGUCCUUCCACUACUUGCAACUUUUGUGGAAGAGAAUGGCACAUUAGUAGUACGCCCUUUAAGAAAUGGUUCUCAAAAGAAUUUAAAUGCAAAAACUAAAAAAGAUUUGGAUUGAGAAAUCCAAGGUCACUAACCCUCAAGGACCCAAAAAGAUAUAGGUACCUAAAUCAACUUGAGUUUUAUGUUGUAAGGUUCAAAGAAUGAUAAGUGGUUCUUAGAUAAUGGUUGCUCAAGACACAUGACCGGAGAUGAAUCCAAGUUUGCUUUUCUUAAAAAGAAAAAUGGAGGAUAUGUUACCUUUGGAGACAAUGCAAAAGAAAGGAUGAUUGGUCAAGGCAACAUUGGUAAUGGCACAUCCUCUCUCAUUGAAAGUGUUUUAUUAGUAGAUGGUUUCAAACAUAACCUUUUAAGCAUUAGUCAAUUUUGCGACAAAGGUUUUUAAGUGAUUUUUUAAGCAUCUCAUUGCAUCAUCAAGGAUAUUCAAAAUGAUAAAACCAUUUUCAUGGGCCAUAGAUGUGAUAAUGUUUAUGCUAUAAAUAUUUCAAAAUAUGAUGGCCAUGAUAGAUGUUUUUCAAGCAUGCAUGAUCAAAGUUGGUUGUGCCAUAGGAGAUUGAGACAUGCUAACAUAGACCUCAUUUCCCAACUCAACAAAGAUGAACUUGUUAGAGGCCUUCCCAAAAUAAUUUUUUAAAAAGAUAAAGUUUGUGAAGCUUGUCAAGUGGGAAAGUAAAUCAAAAACUCUUUUAAAAACAAAAACUUCAUUUCCACAUCUAGGCCACUUGAGUUGUUGCAUAUGGAUUUAUUUGGUCCCUCUAGGACACCAAGUCUUAGAGGAAAUUCUUAUGCAUAUGCUAUUGUGGACGACUUCUCUAGAUACACAUGAGUCUUGUUUUUUAGUCAAAAGAAUAAAGUUUUUUAUGAGUUUUCAAAGUUUUGCAAUAAGAUUCAAAAUGAAAAAGGUUUUUCAAUUACUUAUAUAAGAAGUGAUCAUGGGAGAGAAUUCGAAAAUAUUGAUUUUGAAGAGUAUUGCAAUGAGCAUGGAAUUGACCACAAUUUUUUGGCUCUUAGAACUCCUCAACAAAAUGGGGUAGUUGAAAGGAAAAAUAGAACUCUUCAAAAAAUGACAAGAACCAUACUAAAUGAAAACAACUUACCAAAAUAUUUUUAGGCCAAAACGGUUAACACUUCUUGUUAUGUUUUAAAUAGAGUAUUAUUGAGGCUCAUACUUAAGAAAACUCCCUAUGAGCUUUGGAAAAACAAAAAACCCAACAUUAGUUAUUCCAAAGUCUUUGGAUGCAAUAUUUUAUAAUAAACACCAAAGACAAUCUUGGAAAAUUUGAUGCAAAAUUGGAUGUUGGAAUUUUCCUUGGUUACUCAACUUCAAGUAAAGCUUUUCGAGUUUUAACAAAAGAACCAUGGUUGUAGAGGAGUCCAUCCAUGUUAUUUUUUAUGAAUCUCCAAGAAAGAGAGAGGAUUGAUGAUGAUUUAGGUUUGAAGACCUCUAUAGGAAGAUUGCAAAUCGAAGAUAGAAGACAACAAGAAGAAAAUGGAGAGAAUCCAAAGAAAGAAGGAUCACCAUUGGCACUACCCCCUCAUCAACAAGCGCAAGGUGAAUCAAGUCAAGAGCUUCCUAAAGAAUGGAAGUUUGUCAUCAAUCACCCACAAGAUCAAAUUAUAGGCAAUCCAUCUAGUGGGGUAAGAACUAGAUCCUCUCUUAGAAAUAUUUGCAAUAAUCUAGCUUUUAUCUCUCAAAUUGAGCCUAAAAAUAUAAAUGAUGUUUUAGAUGAUGAAAAUUGGAUAAUUGCAAUGCAAGAAGAGUUAAAUCCAUUUGAAAGAAGUGGAGUAUGGGAAUUAGUACCAAGACCUUCAAAUCAAAGUGUUAUUGGAACUAGAUGGAUCUUUAGAAAUAAAAUGGAUGAAAAUAGCAUAAUUGUUAGAAAUAAAGCAAGAUUGGUAGCCCAAGGUUUUAAUCAAGAAGAAAUGAUAGAUUAUGAAGAAACCUUUGCCCCCGUAGCUAGGUUGGAAGCCAUUAGGAUGCUACUUGCCUUUGCAUGUUUUAAAGACUUUGUUUUAUAUCAAAUGGAUGUGAAAAGUGCUUUUUUAAAUGGUUUUAUAAAUGAAGAAGUAUAUGUUGAACAACCACCCGGUUUUCAAAGUUUCAACUUUCCUAACCAUGUUUUUAAACUUAAAAAGACACUUUAUGGUUUGAAACAAGCACCUAGAUCAUGGUAUGAAAAAUUGAGUAAAUUUCUUUUGAAAAAAAUGUUUUAAAAUGGGAAAAAUUGACACAACUCUUUUUAUAAAAACCAAAGAAAAUGAUAUGCUCUUAGUUCAAAUAUAUAUUGAUGAUAUCAUUUUUGGUGCUACUAAUGUCUCUCUUUAUGAAGAAUUUUCUAAGUGCAUGCAUAGUGAGUUUGAAAUGAGCAUGAUAGGAGAACUCAACUUCUUCCUUGGACUUCAAAUCAAGCAACUAAAGGAAUGAACCUUCAUCAAUCAAGCAAAGUAUAUAAGAGAUCUUCUCAAAAGGUUCAACAUGGAAGAAGCCAAAACAAUGAAGACUCUAAUGAGCUCAUCCAUUAAGCUUGAUAAGGAUGAGAAAGGUAAAUCCAUUGACUCUAUUAUGUAUAGAGGCAUGAUAGGUUCUUUGCUCUAUUUGACCACUAGUAGACCUUACAUUAUGUAUAGUGUGUGUUUGUGUACUAGAUUUCAAUCUUGUCUUAAAAAAUCUCACUUAAGUGUCGUGAAAAGAAUCCUCAAAUAUUUGAAAGGGACAAUGGACAUAGGCUUAUGGUAUCCUAAGAGUGAUAACUUUGAAUUAAUUGGUUUUUUGGAUGCUGAUUUUGUCAGUUGUAGGGUUGAAAAAUAAAACACUAGUGGCACUUUUCAUUUCUUAAGACACUUACUUGUCUCAUGGCAUAAUAAGAAGCAAAAUUUGGUAGCUUUGUCAACAGCAGAAGCUAAAUACAUAGCAACUGGUUUAUGUUGUGCACAAAUCCUUUGGAUGAAAUAAACACUUAGUGAUUUUGAUUUAUCUUUUGAGCAUAUUCCUAUUAAAUGUGAUAAUAGUAGUGCCAUAAGUAUAUCAAAAAAUCUCGUGCAACACUCUAGGACUAAGCAUAUAGAGAUUAGACAUAAUUUUCUUAGAUAUCAUACACAAAAGGAUGAUAUAACACUUGAAUUUGUAAGCAUAAAAGACCAACUUGCCGAUAUCUUUACAAAACCUCUAAGAACAUUUUGUUGAUAUUAGAGGACAAUUAGGAGUGAUUUCUUUAUGAUCUAAUGUGAUGAAUUCUUGAUGAAUAUACUUUUUGAUUGCAUGAAUUUCAUGUCAUAUAUGCAUCAUAUAGAAAUAUACUUAGAUAAUGGUCAAAUUUCGACCAAAAAUCAAAAUUCCCAUGGCAUUAGGCAUAAAAAUUUUGGAAUUUCAACUGAAAAUGGUAGGAGGAGGAUCACAAAAUGAGAAAGUAUGCAAAAAUUGAAAAAUCAAAACGUUGACCAAGCGGUCAAUCGGACUAGACCGAUCGACUAGUUUGUCGAGAUUUAGGAUUUUUAAGAGACUCCAACGCUUCAAUUUUUGCACCGUUCUCCUCUAUUUCUUCACGGUUUCUCUGAUUUUGUCUUUUAGAGACUAAUUUGAGUGCGUUUUGGAUCAAUUGAAGCAUUUUGGAUUGGAUUUUAGGAAGAUUGAAAGUUAAGGUUUCGGAUUUGGGUCGCCUUCUCUUCCUCUCGCGUGUCACAAUCAGCUUUAGCAUUGUUCUCUUUCCAUUUUCACACACCUAGGGUUUCAGUUGUGAGCAUCUCUCUCUCUUUACCAACCACUACUCCCUUGCUUCUUCCAUAUGGCUCCUAGGCGAGAGUCCGCUACUUCUAGGGCACAAGGCAAGCACCCAACUGAGUCGUCUCAGUCAAAGGCACGUCGAAAAGUGAGAUUUGACAUUGCCUUGUUCAGUUCCAUGGAGGACUACCAACUAUACAAGCAACACUUUGCUUAGAGACGAGUAGUUCCCAAGAGAAAUAUUAAUUUUCCUCAACUUCAGCAUUUCGAAUUUAAGGGUCUAUUUACUAGGAUGGUUGGUUGUCUAUUGUCACAAUUUCGGAGCCGGUUUUCCUGACCUUAGUGCGAGUUUUUUACUCGAGGGCGACUUAUGGCAUGGGUGGCAUGAUCAUUUCUACUGUUGGAGGAGUUGAGAUCUGUCUGGACCCAGAGAGCAUCUGCCAUAUUUUCGAUAUUGCUCUGGUUGGACUCAAAGUAUACAAGUCCAAAAUGUGGCCCAUUGUGCCAGGAUUUGAGCUUAGAGAGGUCAUUCAGAGGAUUUGUGAACUUCCAGACGCCCAGGAGAUGGGCAAACCAUUGCCACACAGUUUGACGGUCAUCAACAGGGUGCUACACCAUAUAUUGUGCUCUAUCUUUCUACCACGAAGUGGACAUUGAGAUGAGGUCUCUUAUUAUGAGGCAUUCCUUAUUGACUCCAUUCUAACGGAGAGACGAAUUCAUCUACUAUGUCAUCAUUCACUAAGCCUCCUCACAGUGACAUACCACCUCAUCAGGCACCUCUUGCUCCUGACCAUGCUCCAUUGAUGGAUUUAUUUACUCAUAUUAGCUCUCUAGGCACUCGCAUGAAGGAGUUUGUUGUAGUUAGUGAUACAUGGUUCUACUCCAUAGAGGAUCGCAUGGAUCAGUAUCAGACUGGCUUCACGUCACAGUUUGAGUAUCUCCAAUAGAGGAUUGAGCAUAUUGAGGAUCACUUGAGCAUGAGAAGAUGAUGGCUUUUCUAUGCUCUGUGUUUCCACCUCCACCUCGUCAACCUUGAUUUCUUAGAGACCCAUUGUUUUCAUUUUGUAAUGUUGCCAAAAGGGGGAGAUAUUUAGGAUCUAGGACUCUAUAGGAGACUUACAUGCAUAUCAUUUUCAUAUCAUUGUUUGGAUCGUACAUAUUGGAUAGUGAUACUUUUUACUUAUAUAUGAUAUGCCUAUAUGUUUCAUGUCUUACAUUGUUUCUUAUUGCAAAUUAUCUCUAACAUGUCUUGAUUAUCUUUUUUUUAACUUCAUAAAUUUUGAUUGUUAACCCAUGAUUGGUUUGAGGGGAAGAUUCUUCUUCUCCUAGAUAACCAAGGUUUGUCAUCAUAAAAAAAUUGGAGAUUGUUAGCCCAAGGGUUCUCCUAAUCAUGUUUUGAUGAUAACAAACCAUGCUUAAGUUACUAAUUGGUUUGAAUUAUAAAGAAUUUCAAGUGUUAAUUUGAAAAUUCAUCAAAGAACCUAAUGGAUGCAAGAUCAAGAUUUUUGGAAGACCUUUAAUCAUAAGAAACAUAUGUAAGAUGAAUGCAUGGGUGCACUUAAGAUUUGCAUAUCAUUUCAUGCAUAUUUGGAAAACACGGUUUAUGCUUUAAAGUUACAUUUCCAUCAAAAUUUGAGAUCCAUCAAAUGAACCUUAGGAAAAAUGUUUUAAAAUUGGCAUAUAAUUUUACCUAAAGACCUUGCCUAAGUGUUAGAAGCAAAAGGACAAAAAAAAUAUAGGUUUUCUGGUCAAAAAUGGUGAACCAGUCAAGGCAUUGUCUAAAUCAGCUCAAUCGGCCAAGGUACCGGUCGAUCGGUUUCCCUUUCCCUGUCGAGAUCUAGUCAAGAGGUACAAAAAUCACAAUCUCUGUCUCUUUCUCUCUUUGUCUAUCUUCCAGUAGUCUUUCCUUCCCGGUCGAGGGAUUUGCCUUCCCGAUUGAGGUCCGAUUGAGAGUAAUAGUCACUUGCCAAAUAUUAAAUGCUCCAACAGUUAGUGAACUGGUCGACCCCCACCUUGCCCAGUUGAGGUUACUUUUUGGUUUUCUUGGCUCCCGAUGUUAGAAACCUAUAAAUAGAGAGUUCCACUUCAUUUAUGAGCAAGAGAACACUUGCAUUUAUUUGUUUACCUACUUGUUCUUGCCUUAAAAGCUCUCAUUUCUUUUCUUGGUGCAUUAAAUCUCCAUUUUGAUAUCCUUUAGUGCACCUUUGUGAUUCAUCUUAGCCUUGAGUUGUAUUUGAGCCCUUUUUUUAGCUAGGUUGAGAGUUUCAUACUUGUUAAUUGAGUGUUAAAGCCUUCAAGUGAGUUGAAACUUGUAGAGAUUAUGUGAGAGUCGAUUGGAGCCGAAAUCCAAGUGUAAAGGUGAUUAGAAGCUUGGUUGAAGCUUCAAGUUAGUGGAAUCCUCACUCAAUUAGGAGCUUGAGGAGAGUGGACGUAGCCAAGGAAGUGUCGAACCACUAUAAAAUUUGAGUUUGAUUUCUCUAACAUUGUCUCUUUAUAUUUGUUUAUCUUGUGCUUAAAUUUAUUGUGUUUAAAAAGAAUUUUUAAAUACCCAAUUCACCCCCCUCUUGGGUGUUUUUCUCUUUUAAAAUUAGCCUUUAUUUUCUCACAAACUAUUGUAGUAUAGUGGUUUUUAGGUGUCAUCCAUUAGGAUGAAUUGUUCUCGGUAAUUAAGGCGUGAAUGAGAGGAGAAUUAAUGAUUGUGAUUAAGUAAAAUUGAUUUGAAAAUUCAUGGUGAAAAAUCAAUUUAACAAUGGUUUCUAAUUGAGAAAAACAAUGAAAUGUGAAAUAAAAUAAAAUUAAUAGGAAAUGAAAUUCUCGAAGUUAGAAUUUUCUAAAAAACAAAUUCCAUGGUGAAUGGAUGUUGAGAUCUAAUUUUCAUCAAGUUAGAUUGAAAACCGAAAUUUUCAUAUAAACUGAUUUUUUAUUUAGUUUUAGGUCUAGAUUUAAUUUCCCUUAAAAUUAGGUUAUUUAAUCCAAGAAAUCAAUUCAAAUCAUAUAUUCAAUUCAUCUUAAAUUAUCUUCCAAUUAUUCACACAAUGCAACUAUUCAAUCUCAUCAAAUCUAGCUUUUAAGAAUUUAAUGAAUCUACCUAGUUUGCAUUGUAAUAGUCAUCCAUGACAAUUUGAAGAGAAAAAUAAUUCAAUUAAUCAAUCACUUGGAUCAAAUUACCUUUGCAAUUAAAGUUCAUUUCUCUAAUUCACCACAGAUUUUGUCUCUAGAUCCUCCUUUCUCAAAGAAAAAUGAGAUUUAGCCACACAUGAUUGGAGAUUUGGUCUCAUAAGGCAUGUUUAGCUAGUGAUAAAAUGAGAGAAAAUAAAGAAAAAUAGAGAAUUCGAUUAAGAAAGAAAAUCUAAAAAAUUCUACAAUUAGAAAUGUCCAAAAAGCUUUUUCAUGAGAAAAUCAAGUUUCUAUUUAUAGGCCAAGGUCAAGUGGACACUUGACAUCAUCUAAGAGGUCUUCCGGAAGCUUCUUCAUCAAGAAAUCUGGAGUUUAAUAAUAAAAUGGUCAUUUCACAAGAGCUCAAACAAUUUCGCAUGAUUAUGUGAAAUAAAAAAUGCAACAACAGCAAUUUACAUCUUCUUGGAGCAUUUCGCAUGACUGUGUGAAAUUUUCACAUGAUCAUGUGGAAUCGACUUGACAACUCUCAUUUAGCCUACAACAUAAUUCCACCUUUUGGUCCAUUUUUCAUAGUCAUGCGAAAUGGAAAUAUUUGAUUUUUAAGUUUUCUUUUGUCAUUUCUUUCAUUUCCUUCUCUUGAUUCCACUUCAACUACCUCCGAAUCCUGGUCCAAACCAAUUGCAUUACUUCUUUCAUUAUGCAUUUGGAUCAUCAUCAACAUUAUUUGUUCUCUUCAAUUUGAUUCAUCUCUUUUGUCACCAAUUUAUCAAAAUCAUACCUUGAAAUGACUCCAAAACUUCAUAAAACUUGUUAGUAACUCUUGCAAGGGCAACAACAUAUUAAUUAAGUGUUUUAGGCAUAGUUACUACUCAAAAGAUGCGAAACUCAUGAUAAUUAUUAUAUAAAAUAUGCUCUUUUUGAGUAGUAAUCAACUUUCUUGCAUAAGCAGACCUUUUAGGGUGGAGUACUAAAGACCAAUAUGCUUGUCCUUGUUGUAAUAAAGAAACUUGCUCUUAUUGAUUGCACCAUGGGAGAAAAUUUUGCUACAUGAGUUAUCAUCAAUUUCUUCCCACCAAUCAUAGAUUUAGACGUGACAAGAGGCCUCUUAAUGGCAAGGAGGAACUGACACUCACACUUAUACAAUUAUCGGGCAUUGAUGUGUUGCAACAAUUAGAAUAACUUACACCAAUUAUGUUGGGGAAGUCACAAAAGGCAAACAUGAAAACUAAAAGGAAAAAAGAAAAAUGUUACAUAUCACCACAACUGGAAAGAAAAAAGUAUUUACUUUCAUUUGCCAUAUUGGAAAGCACUUAUUUUACAUCAUAAUAAUUUAGACAUAAUGCAUAUUGAGAAAAAUGUGUGACAAUAUAAUUGAGACAUUGUUCAGUAUUGACGAAGAAACAAGGACAACCUAAAUAGUCAUCUCGAUUUACAAGCUCUAACUAUUAGAAAUGAGAUUCACCCAAUAGAAAGCAGGACCAAAUUUAUUUUGCUUGCAACAUGCUACUCACUCACCCCAAAUGAGAUUAAGGAAUUUUGCAAGUUUUUGAAAUCAAUAAAGGUCCCCAAUGGCUAUUCUUUCAAUAUCUCUCGUUAUGUGCAACUCAAUGAAAGGAAGAUAUAUGAGCUCAAAUUGUAUGAUUGUCAUGUCCUAAUGCAACAACUUCUCUCACUUGUAGUUCGUGGAGUUCUACAUAAGAAUGUUUGUGGAGUUAUCAUAGAAUUGCGUAAUUUUUUCAAGCAAUUGUGCUCAAAGGUGUUAGAAACAAAUCACUUACACCAACUUGAGAACAAUAUUAUUGUCAUACUAUGUAAAAUGGAGCAAAUAUUUCUUCCAUCAUUCUUUGAUAUUAUGGUGCAUUUACUUGUGCAUCUAGUAAGGCAAAGGUUGCAAGACUUGUGCAAUAUUGUUGGAUGUACCUAAUUGAACGAUAUUGUUAUAAUUUCAUAUGAAUCAUUUAAUUUUAUUUUAUAUUAUGUUCAGUUCAUUAACAUGUACAUUGGUCUACAUAUGGAUGAUGAUAGGUACCUAAGCACUUUAAAGUCAUAUGUGCGUAAUAGAACUUUUCUAGAAGGUUCUAUUGUAGAAAGGUACCUUGCAAAAGAAUGUACAACAUUUUAUUCUAGGUACUUGAAUGAUGUGGAAAUAAAGUAUAAUCACAAUGAUAGAAACUUUGUUGGUUUCAACACUAGAGGAGAUGAAAGGGGUUAUCUUUAAACAUAUUGGACAUGCAUUGGGAAAGCCCAUAUUUCAUUAACUUAGUUCAAAAGAGUGGUCACAAGCACAUUUAUAUGUGUUGACAAAUUGCGAAGAUGUCAUACCAUUCAUUGAGUAAAAAAUUUAUUUGAAUUUUAAUUAAAGCUCUAGUUUAUAUCCUUAAUCAAUGUUUUUUAAAUUCACAAGGAGCACAAGCAAACCAUCAAGGCUAGACCACAUAUACGUGUUUGAGACGUAGAUUUAAUUCAUAACAAGGAAUUUAUCAAGUGGUUUGAAAGACAUGUAAGUAUAUUCCUUAUUAUAAGGGAUUUAUUUCACAUUAUGUUUAUAUUGAAUCCAAACCUAUUAUUGAAUUGUAGGUUGAACAAUUACAUAAUGAAGGUCAUAUAUCUGAACACCUUCUCACAUUAUCAUGUGUUCCAAAUUCAUUAGUUACAUGCUUCAAAUGAUAUAUUGUCAAUGGAUUUAGAUCCCACAUUAAAGAACGUGAUAAAAAAGUUUUUAAAAAAAGACUCAGAAUAAUGGAAUUGUUGUAGUUGCAAAAACGUCAAGCUUUACAAGUGCAUGUGAUAUGAGUCCAAUUAUUAGUGAUGCUCUCUACUAUGGUGUUCUAACUAAAGUUGUUGAGUUACAUUAUCUUGGUGAAAAUAAGGUUGUUUUAUUCGAGUUUGAUUGGUGGGAUGUUACAAAUAUUGGAAAAUUGAUAAAAGAUGAUGAGUACAAUUACACAUUUGUUAACUUUGCAUGAAUUCUAACCACGAACGAACGAUUUGUACUUGCAUCUCCAGCAAAGUAAGUGUUCUAUGUGAAGAAUGCGAAUGAAUCAGAUUGGCAUACUAUCAUGGAGAUGCAACCUCAAGACCUCUAUAAGAUGAACGGGAUAGGAUCCAAUGGUGAUUUUGAACCAUUUCAACAAAGUGAACUACAUGAUCACUAAUAUAUCUCAGAUUUAGUUGAUGAAGAUAUAAUCAAGUGGAACAAAAGUGAUGUUUUAGGACUAAUCAUCCUAAAAAAUAUUGUAGUUUCUUAAAAAAAAAAUGAAAAUGAAGAAGAUAAUUGAACCUUUGUCAUACUUUAAAAAGCAACUAUGCAUUGUUCAUUUUGUAUGUUUUGGUUUUCUUCAUUUAAUUUCCUGAUUUUUGUGAUUCAAUGUCAUAUUAUUGAUCUUGAAAUAUUUUUCUAAUUUUUCAUUCUACGAUGGUUUCAACAAGGAUGACAUCAAGUCAAAAAAGGAAAUGUGGUCCCACACACAAUAUUGCAUUACAGGGAUUAAGGUCAGGGAAGAAGGUAAAAGUUGCAUUUAAUGAGUACAAUCAAUUGGUUAAACAGAAAAAUGGAAAACACUUAUCGAGCUACAUAGGGACACUUGUAUCUAACCAACACAAUGUACCUCUCCAAGCUAGUGAUUGGAAAAAUGUUCCAAAUGAUGCAAAAGAGAAAGUAUGGCCUUUGUUUUGGUAUGUUGUAUUUCUCACUAUAUGAUGUCAUUUCACUGUUAUUCUAUUUUGUGACUAACGUUUGAAUCAUAUGUAAGAAAAAUUUGAAGUAGAUAAAGACUGAAAAGAUUACAUGUUGGGUAUAGCCUCAAAUAAAUAUAGAAGCUAUAAAAAUAUGAUGAAUGCAAAAUACUAUGACCCUUGGCAUAAGGAUGCAUGAGGAGAGGUUAAUACAUAAAUCACCAUUUGUCUCUGAUGUUGAUUGGAAGUGGCUUGUCUCUGAUGCAUAAACCAAAUCCCCCACUGAAUGUUUGAUAUUUGAUAGCAGGAAAAACACACCCGCAGCUAUACACCUCCAUCAUUCAGAUAAUUAUAGUGGGGGAGAUGAUUCAUGGUUGCCCUUAUACCCUUUAUUUGCACCAUCUAUUGAGAUUCUUUAUCAUGGCCAGGUUUUACUGCAGCAAUAAGAUAUGGUGGCAACAAUUUUAUCUAUAGGUGCGGUUCCAGACCGCCUCCAUAGGUGCGGUUCCUGACUGCCUCCAUAGGUGCCUCUUCUUGUAAUGUUUGUUCUGGGAAUUACACUUGAAAGCCUUAUCGUGAUAAGGGAUUACAAACACUAGUUCAGAGGACAGCCAUGUUAAACUUCCACUAUGUUUGUGUCACAUUAUCAGCAGCCUAGUGUUUAUUGGUCAUGCUAUCUGCAACUAAUAUAACCCGGUGAACUUCAAUCUAAAUUCUGAAAGUACUCAUGUGACAGAUGGUGCCUUUCAGCAGAUAUCAUCAAUUUAAAAGUAGUGUGUGUGCCUAUAGGUGGGAAGGCCUUGGCAAAUGUUCAGUAUUCCGGUAAUUCAAGAAGGAUAUAUCUAAAAUAGAUUUUCUUCUUGCCCAUUUCAAUAGUUAAAAUUUGAGAAGAUUGUGUCCACAUCACACAAAUAUUAUUGGUCCUUCUGUUGCAAUUUACCUCUGAACAUGUCUUCCAAUUCCCACGGUCCUGUUACUCCAGGAAAACUAUUUCGGUCAUAUUGAAAAAAAAAAUAUUAAAGAAGGUACACAUGCUUUUAAGUGGACUGGGGCAUUCAUAUCAGGUGGUCUGUAUCCACAUAUGCCACUUCGUGAAAGGUGGAACAGCCUAAUCACUAGGCUAUUUAGUGUGGCCCAGCCACGUUAAUCAAGCACAAGUCUUCAUACUUAAAGUCAAAUGGUGUCUUUAGUCUCAUUACACAUCGCUAUUUGAAGAUUAACUCAUCACUAGUGUAAUGCGAUUAAGACAGUCCUAACUCAAUAUUUGUUCUAGUUUUGGAUGCAAAUGCUUGCUGGUUUCAUCAUUGGAUGGGAUAAAGGUGCAAUCAGGACUAUGAAUACGUGCAGUAAUACUUCAUUCUCUUUUUUCUCAAUGAGACUUCUUGGCACAAUUUUGCUGCUCAGCAACCUACCUUUCCAUGGAAAAUCAGUUGUGACUGAUAGUAAUGGAUAUAUUCUAGAAAGCUAAACAUAGAUAGCAUUCAAUAUUAUCGAUAUAACAUUAACAGCGUAUGUCUCAAUGCUCAUCAGCUACAAGCAAUGGACAAACACUUUGAGUAACUCACAGCAGUCAAAAUUCCUAAACAGGACAGACGUGACAGAUCUAUAUAUAGAACACUGCAUAUGAGUCACAGGAAAAGAUAAUACGGGUACAUAGAAGCUCUUAUUUUACAUAUUACUCAUACUGAUCAAAGUCGCUCAGUUGGGAUGGAUGGGAGAAGGAGGUUUGAGGGGUGGCUUGUGCGGGGAAGUUGGCAGCUUCUUUCCGGGAGCUGGUUGCUUCUUUGCUGGAGUUGAAGGAGGCUUAAUCUUCCGAGGUGGCUUGUAUGAGUCUUCAGCAUUCUCAGCAGGAGGGUGACCAGGGUUGUGACCAUAAUGUGGUGGCUUCUCUCCCUUAGGUGGUUUGCCAACUGGGGUUGGUGGCUUGUUUUCUGGGAGUGGCUUCUCUCCCUUGGGUGGUUUGCCAACUGGGGUUGGUGGCUUGUGUUCUGGGAGUGGCUUCUCCCCCUUGGGAGGUUUUUCGAAUGGGGUGGGUUUGUGUCCUGGUGGUGGCUUCUCUCCCUUGGGAGGUUUACCAAUUGGGGUCGGUGGCUUGUGUUCUGGGAGGGGCUUCUCUCCCUGGGGAGGUUUAGUGGGUGGCUUGUGUUCUGGAGGUGGCUUCUCCACCGGAGGCUUAUGCUCUGGUGGUGGCUUCUCGAAGGGGGGAUGCUCAGGGUAAUCACCAAGUGAGGGGGUGGUGAGAACCACCAUGCCAAGCAACAACACUAGCAAGUAUGUAGUAGACAUCUUUGGGUUUGGACUCAGACAGUGCAAAACUACGAGAAAUCGCUAGCCCUUUAUAGCGGCUCGGACCUAAUACUGACAUAAUAUAAAAUAAAUAUUAUAUUUUAUCAAGAGAGAACAGAGUGUAAUUUUAUCAUUAAUACCGAUCGAGGCCAAAGAAAGAAGACCCAUAAUCCAUUUCCCACAAGCAUACACAAUGCAGCUGUAAUUUUAUCAUUUACUUUUAUCCCUUGGACCACUGCAUUUUUGUUGAGAGACACAAUAACACAUUUUUAUCUGUCAUUCAACAUUUACAGUAAAGAGAGGGCACAAAACGCAAUUAGAUAAAUUAUGUUUUGCCUGCUAAAAAGAGGCAAAUAACUUUAUUUGCAACAUAAUUAUUUUGGUUUCUAGUGACCCCGGGGCCUUUCGGUUGGUUUGGGAUCGGAAAAUGAACAUCAUAGGGGGGGUUGUGCCCUUAUGGGCAUAUAUAUCUGAUAGCUUCAACUGGCCUUGUUCCUAGAAAGAAAUUGCCAAAGAUAUAAACUUAUUCCAGGCUGAAAGUAGAUGAGAGUCAUAAUGAACAUCAACCUUUGUUCAGUUUGAUUCAAUGCCCCCAUAGUGUUCAUUUCACAGAUCUGAAUGAUUAUAUCCGUUGAAUACAUAAAUUAAUGAAGACAAAUAUGAAACCCAAGAUACAUCUCUGCAUAACAACCCCAACCCUGGUUGCUAUGUUUCCCUUCUUCUAUUCACAUGAGGAUACUGGUUAUAAUUGUCAAACUUGCAACAAGCCCUUUGACACCUAACGUCAAUGGACGAAUUAAAAGUCUCCUUCAAACGUCUAUUUCACAGCAUGAAGCUUAUAAAGGAUGCUGACAACCUUCAGAGUUAGCGACAAAAGAUAAUUAUCAAGGAGAGAUAGUUCCAUGAGAAUUCCAAGGAGUCUGAAUCAAAGACAAAUUGCUCACUCAAGGGUUCUUAUUUUCUUUUAGGUACAAAUCUCUUGAGUGUUGUUAAAGAAACACGUCACUGUCAUUUUGAUUUGCAUUUAACAUUUCACUUUUGUUCUGGAAGGUUUGUUCCGGAAACAUAUCAAAUGAGCAUCAUUUUCUUCUUCGGUGACACAUGGUCGCGAGUACGUGGGUCCAUUUUCAUGCCACUUAGUUGAAAAGUUGGAAAGAAAAAACAUGCCAACAAGAAGAUAGUGAGAGAAGGGGCACUUCAAGCCUUUAACAUGAACAAACAGUAAAUAAAAGAUGUUUCUCCACUCAUAAAAGUGUGUUAGAUAGCAAUAUAACGAAUCACAUCCAAAAUCUUUACUAGGCUCAAACAUAAAGAAGACUCAUUUUUAAGAAAAGAUAAAAAUGGCAUUGUCUGAUAGUAUCCAAUACACGAGAUGGCACUUAAUUUGUACAAGAUCUGUCAAUGCUGACGCACAUUUUCUGAUUAAAAAAAAACUGAUCAGUCAAAAGCAAUGAAGAGAAGUGAUGACAAUGAAUGAUGCUUCCAAUAUUUUCACCCCUUAUAGUGUUCUUCAUGAUUCAGAUAUAUAAUUGGAAAUAGAACAACCCUAUGCCAUACAUUCGUCUAAGUAUGGUGUCUAAUUUUUUGUGUCAGCGGUUGCGAAUGGAGCGUGCAAAAGUCCAAAUUGGCGUCUCUCCAUUUCCACAUAGGAAGGUGACCUUUAUUGACAAAUACCCAAUAUUUGUAGACAUUCCUUAAAUAUCAUAACUUCUUGUUGAUUUGAAAAUCAUUUUUCAACUACCAUGUUUUAAUAAAUAUUUUUUAAAAUGUAUUUUUAUCAAAGUCCACCAUGAUGGAUAAUAUUCACCAUGCAAUAAUUAAUAAAGUACAAACUAAGCGAAAUGAAAAGCAUUUUCUUUGCUUUGAGUUGAUUUUGGUUGCAUUGAGUUGAUUUUGGUUUCAUGGUUUUUUCAACUCUUAUUUUGAUUGGAAGAUGUCAAGAAAAGAAAACAUAAAGAAAAAUUAAAAGGGAAAAAAGAAGAAAAAUAAAAAAAAAUAGAUUUAAAAGUUAAUAAAUUAUUUUUUAUAUUUAUUUUAAUUCAUUUCACUUAUUUUUCUUUUACUAUAUAAAAUUUAAAUAAUUUAAAUUUUAUAAUUAAUUUAAUUACAUUUCAUUUUCUUCUAUAUUUAAAUAUUGGAAAAAUAUUUUACUUAAUAUUUUUUUCUUUAAUUUCUUUGGCAUUUUGGGAACCAAACUUAGCCUUUAAAAUAAAAAACAAAAAAAAAAUGAAAAUAAGGAGGGAAAAGUGAGAAAAGAUAAAAACAAUAUGUAAAGGAUUUGAAAAGUAUUAGUUUGUAAUUACUAUUUGGAUUUCAAUAGUAUUUUAUUUGUCUUUCUAUAUUUCAUGUAAGAGAGAAUUUAAGAUAUUCCCCAAGGCAAAGCAUUAGUUACCUGCAAUCAGUGGUGAUAAGGCUCCAAGCCAAUUUUGGGCCCCAUAUCUUAAGACAGUACAAUUUCCAUUUCAACAUUUCUGAUUUCUCAGAUGUUUCACAUACCACAGAAGAACAUUGUUUGUGAAAAUAUGCAUUUAUGUUGGAUUUUGUAUGCUGUGGGGACUGGGGCAAGGAUCAUAUGGAAGAGUGGUUGACUUUUUCUGUACUUUAACGGUUGAAAUAGGAUAAGCACGGGCAUUUGUGAGGCUUAAUUGAUUUUGAAGCCUGAAAUUGCGUUUCUGUCAUUUUGUCAAAAAAAUGGCAGAUUCCAUACUCAUAUGUUUGGCCUGUGGCCAUGUACAGAUGCCAUUUAGUGACCAGUUUGUAACUGUCAAUCGUUGCGUUUUGACUCUGCCUCAACAACAUCUGCCAUUGACGGGUUUUCAUACUUGCAAAUCAAAUAGUCUUUCGUCCCAUCAGGAAUUUCGGUUUAAAUAUUAUUAAGCAUACGUUUGGCUGACAAUCAUUAUCCAGUUCAUGAUUUGGUUUCUUACCCUUAAUCAAUGGUUUCUAAGUGAAUAUAUGUAGAAGGAAAUCCGAAGUGUAGACAGUAGUAUCGAUAACUCUCAAUAUUCUCUAUAUAAUAGAAUAAACAGCGUCAUAGUGAUCGUCGCCUACAAGCAAGGUACAAAUACCAAAACGAGUGACUCACAUAGACAUCUCCCAACAAGAUGUAGUAGUGACUGACACAUGGACACAAUUAACUCGUAGAAAAGGAUAAGACCAUUGCACAGCAGCUCUUAUUUUACAUACUACUUAUGCUAACCAAAGUCAAUUAGUUGGGAUGGGUGGGAGAUGGAGGUUUGUGCGGUGGCUUGUGGGGCGGAGUUGAUGGCUUCUUUCCAGGAGCUUCUGGCUUUUUCAUCGGAGCUGAAGGAGGCUCAAUCUUAUGAGGCGGCUUGUAUGAGUCUUCUUUACUCUCGACAGGAGGGUGGCCAGGGUUGUGAUCAUAAUGUGGUGGCUUCUCUCCCUUAGGUGGCUUGCCAACUGGGGUUGGUGGCUUGUGUUCAGGAAGUGGUUUCUCUCCCAUGGGAGGUUUAGCAAUUGGGGUUGGUGGCUUGUGUUCUGGGAGUGGCUUCUCUCCCUUGGGAGGUUUAGUAGGUGACUUGUGUUCUGGAGGUGGCUUCUCCACCGGAGGCUUGUGCUCCGGUGGUGGCUUCUUGGUUGGAGGGGGCUUGGGGUAAUCAGCAAGAGAUGGGGUGGUGAGAACCACCAGUCCAAGGAACAACACUAGCAAGUAUGUGGGAGACAUUUUUGAGUUUGGGCUGAUCAGAUGAUGCAAAACUAAAGCAUUACGUGACCUUUUAUAGCAUGUAGCUCCCAAUACCCACUAAGUAUUGUGGGGUCCAUUUGUGCCCUACGGGGUUGAAAACUUAGACAAUUGGGCAAGGACCCACCUGACUAUGGAGGACUAGUGAGGUGUGAUCAUAGCUUUAGGAUUUUUCUUCCUCUGCAGCCGUCGUGCCGUUGGCAUGAUUUUCUUAAUCUUAAAUAAAGGCAUAGUUAUAGAGUUGUUUAAUCUCUAAAUGGGAUUUUAUAUAUAUCUUCAGAUAGCCAUUAAUAUAUUUGAUGAAGAAAGAAAGACAAGUGCAUACAACAUGUAUACGACUAGCUUUCAUGGAGUUCAUUUAUGAUCAGUUUUCCUGUACAUGUAAACCAGGAUCAUAUAUAUGUUUCUGUUCCACAACUAUUUUGGAAUCUUGUUUAUCAGUUUUUAUCAUUAUAAUGUCACAUAGGCUGCCAACUUGGGCGCUAAAAGAACCAGUUGGGCUAGUUCGUUUCAGAAUUUCAAUGUGGAUUCAGGAAUUGUUUUGUAAGAUAUGCGAAAUAGUAGAGGGAUGAAUAGUGUUUCAUUAAUAAAAGUGUCCUGUAAAUUAGAAGGUGUCAUAGAAACUAUAAUCAAUAAAUAACUUUUUUUCCCCACGGGUGGUGUUUCUUGUGGGGAUCAGUGACUGGUUUAGGUUCACCCAAAAUGAGUUCAGACUAAAAUUGGUUUGAGUCAAUGCCGUGUCUCUUUUUUCCAGAAAUCAACUAUUUUAUGCAUUGAAUAAAUCAUACAAAGAAAAUAUGAACGCCCGCAAAACCUAAACCCUGGUUGCUAACUUUCUAUGUUUCAGUUCUAUUCACGCAAGAAUAUUAGUUUAAGUUUGGGAAAAAUGGCAACUUACCUAGUGAUUACUUGGUUUUGGUUUGCGACUAUUUACGCAACCAACCAUGAGUUUGACUUUAACGUCAUGGGUUGAAGCCUCCUACAGGAAGGGAGAAAGCUCCACAGCUAGCUCCAAAAGAGAAUUAUCACAUUGAUAGCUCCAGAGAUUCCCAAGGGGACUGAAUCAAAGACAAGUUCCUCACUUUUUCUUCUUUUGAGGCCAAAUAUGAACCAAGGAUCACACAACCUCAUUCAACUUCAUAAGUUUGAUUUCAUGCAGUUGAACACUGGGUGAAGGCCAUGACAAGAAUUGAUUCAAAAAUUCUAUCACUCUUUUAAGUAAUGGAAGAUUAUUAUCUCUGAUUGGCAUCACAACAGCACAUGCUCCUAGAUCUUUCUAGACACUCCAUGCAAUGAAAGCACAAUGGAUCUUGUAACGAUAGAAACUAAGCCAUGCUACAGUACUAGAUGAUGAGGUAAAACUAGUAGACACGGGUGGCAGCCUAUAUGGGAGGGACACAAGUCUAAUUGAUUUGCAUUUCAGCAUUAUAGAUAGGUAUGUUUUGGAAGAUUUGUUCUGGAAAUACCGCACCAAGUAGGAUUCUUUUUCUCUUUAGUGGGUCCACUUGCAUGCCAAUUAACGAGUUGAAAAGUAUGAGCACCUACCUCGUGCUCGUGGAACCGAAGGUCAGUGAAGUGGGGCUCCUUUUGGCCUCGUGUAAACUUGAUUCAGAAGUGAAGUUAAUAGUCUUCCAUUCAGAUGGAUACAUGGGAAUUUUUCUCUUUUAUUUAUUUAUUUAUUUUUUUUUUGUGUGUGUAUGUCAAAGGAUAAUGAAUGAAGCGCGUUAGCUUGUUUUCUGACUGGAACCGCAGAUGUCCAAAUUGGAGUUCCUUCAUUUCUUACUUAGGAUUGUUACAUGUAUAAACAAGGUAUAAGAAAUAUGCCAACGUGUCUUGAGGAGUUAUUGAUUAGAAAUAACAAGUCACCCGACUGUAGAGUUCCAAGAUUUGAAUCUUCAGACCCUAUAGCAGCCUCUGGGGUACGUGGCAUCCUAUAGCAUAUUAAUGAAGGCUUUUUCGAUUUAGACUUCACAAUACCAAUUAAUAUGUAUGCACAAAAUGGAGAUGACCCCAAAAAAAACAGAAUCGCCAUAGUUUAUGAGGUUAAGGUGAUUCUCCACUUAAUAUCUACAUUAGCUAAUUAUGUAAAUCAAAUGAACUUCUAUUUUUCCUUUUUUUUUUUGGUUUAUGUCAAAUAGUAGCCCAUAAUUAACCCAACCAUUAGCCUGUUUGAAUUGAUUUCACAUGCACAAUGUUGUAGUAGUUCAUAUUUUGAAUUUUAUUUUUACAAAGGUAGUUAAGGAAAAUGAAGUAUAAUAAUUAUAAAAGCAGACUAUAUACACUACAAUAAUUGUUAGAAUGGUAUCUCAAAUUCUAAUUUAAAAUAUUAUUUUUUGUAAAAGAAAUAUUAUAUAGAAUAUUUCCUAAUUUUAUAAAUGAUUAUAAUUAGAUCUUUAUAAAAUAAGGAAAGUUGGUAAGAAUAUCUUUAUAAAUAUUUUAGGUCAUGAGAGAAAGAAAUGGGAUAAAAAUGUGAUGAAGAGGUGAAAUAAGAGAGUUGAUUAGGAUAUAGAUGUGAAGAAGAAAGGGAUUCAAUAUAUAUAUAUCUUUCAAUUACCACAUUAAAACCCUGUGAACCUUUUAUAUGGUUUACUUUAUUUUUAUAUUCCUCCUUUAAUAUAUUUACAUUAAUGCUUCCAUUGGCACAACAAUAACGAAUUACAAAUACAAGCAACAAGUCCCAUGUUUUAUUACCAAAAGCAGGUAAAAUCCACCUAAUAUAUUACAAUAUAUUCAUCCAAUAUUUUAGACCAAUUCUUCACCAUAAAUAUCAUAAUGUGGCUUUUGUUCUUUCUUAAAUUUAAAUUGAAUUGUCUUAUAUCAAUUUGUUUGUGAUUUUUUCAUUAACUUCACUUUCAUUUGGUUAUCUUUGGUUUUUGAAAAGUAUUAAGGAAUUAAUUAACAAAAUAAUGUUAAGAAAAAUAAUUUUCUCUCUUUUGAUUUUGAUUUUGUAGUAGAAAAAUAUAAUUAAAAUUAUUUAAAAAGUAUGUAAUUUUAAAUUAUUUAAUAUUUAGAUAAAAAAAAUAAGUCUAAUGAGUUUAAAAUAACAUAUAAAAAUAAUUUAUUUAUUUUAAAUUUAUUUUUUAUUUUCCAUUAUGUUCUCUUUCUCUUUUACUUUUUCAUAUUUUUUCUUACGAAGAAUCAAACACAACCUCAUAUUAUAUGUCAAGUGUUUGUCUAUAUUUGAGCAAUGUUAGAUACGGCCAUGGAUUCAUCAAACUAAACUGAUUUUAAUAGAUACUUCACAAAUUGAUUUAUACACUAAAUCAUUGGAUAGCAAUGAUGCAUUGGAAUUAAACGUAGGAUGAAGCUCGAAGAACACUGUUUGUGUAACAACAUAUUUAUGAAAUUAUGCAAAGGAUGAGCUUCGGGGUAGUAGUACAAGGUCAUUAAUGGAGAGCCGUGUUAAACCUUGAUUGUGAUUGGAUUCCGUUAUCAGCAACAGCAACCUUGUUUGUAACCUUGAAAGUCAUUCUGUCCACAUCGAAACUCCAAUUUGACGUUUGUAAUUACCAUUCCUGGAGUGUUCCUUGAUUGAAAUUUAAAUAAUAAUUGCGGCCCACAAGGAAUAUUUUCGAUUCUGUGGGAAUUUGACAAGGUUUGUUAGAGAAGACUGGUGACAUGUUGACUUCAAUGGUUCAAAUAGGAGACGUAUGUGGAUUUGGGGGGUUUAAUUGAAACUGAGUCCCUAUGGCUUUUUAAUAUUUGCAUUGAGCAGUCUCCAUGUGACUUCCUAAUUCCCACCAACCCUCCUGUCCAUGCUGUGAAACUAAAUUGUAAUUUAUCAGCCUUUGUCAAUGGUUUCUAAAUUAAAGAUAUAGACCAUGCAUGUACUUUAAUAAAAGCAAAUCUAAAGUGUAGAUAGCAGCAAUGGUGACACCCAAUAUUCUCCAUAAAAUAGAAUUAGAAUAAGCAGUGUUACAUUGUUCAUGAUCACCUACAAGCAUACAAGAACUUCCAUGAAUAACUCAUAGCAAUUGCCAACAGGGCGUCGUAGAGACUCAUACAUAGAACACUAUCCACCCAGAGGAAAGGACAAGACCAGUGCGCUGCAGCUCUUAUUUUUCACAUGUAUACCACCACUCGUAAUAACCAAAUUCACUCAGUUGGGAUAGGUGGGAGAUGGUGGUUUGUGGGGUGGCUUGUGGGGAGGAGUUGGAGGAGGCUUUAUUUUCUGAGGCGGCUUGUAUGAGUGUGCAGGAGGAUGCCCGGGAGUGUGACCAUAAUGUGGUGGCUUCUCUCCCGUAGGUGGUUUGCCAAAUGGGCUUGGUGGCUUCUCUCCCUUAGGAGGUUUACCAAUUGGGGUUGGUGGCUUGUGUUCUGGGAGUGGUUUCUCUCCCUUGGUAGGUUUGCCAAUUGGGGUUGGCGGCUUAUGUUCUGGGAGUGGCUUCUCUCCCUUGGGAGGUUUGCUAAUUGGGGUUGGCGGCUUAUGUUCUGGGGGCGGCUUCUCUCCCUUGGGAGGUUUGCCAAUUGGAGUUGGCGGCUUAUGUUCUGGGAGUGGCUUUUCUCCCUUGGGAGGCUUGCCAAUUGGGGUUGGCGGCUUAUGUUCUGGGGGUGGCUUCUCUCCUUUAGGAGGUUUGCCAAUUGGAGUCGGCGGCUUAUGUUCUGGAAGUGGCUUUUUUCCCUUGGGAGGUUUGCCAAUUGGGGUUGGCGGCUUAUGUUCUGGGGGUGGCUUCUCUCCCUUGGGAGGUUUGCCAAUUGGAGUCGGCGGCUUAUGUUCUGGGAGUGGCUUCUCUCCCUUGGGAGGUUUUGUUGGUGGCUUGUGUUCUGGAGAUGGCUUCUCCCCUGGAGGCUUGUGCUCCGGAGGUGGCUUCUGAAAUGGCGGGGGCUUGGGGUAAUGAGCAAGAGAUGGAGUACUGGUGAGAACCACCAUUCCAAGCAACAAUACUAGCAAGCAUGUGGGAGACAUCUUUGAGUAGUUGUAGCUAAGAUGGCGCAACACUGUAGGCAUUGGGUGGCCUUUUAUAAAGGGCUGGACCCAACAGCCAUAUGACACGUGUCAUGAUGACAAAUGAAGUUGAGGGGAUCCAGAUGGGUCCUACUGAGUCGAAAACUUGCACUAAUUGAUCUGGUGAGAUGACUAUUUCUGUCCUUUUGCCCUUCUCGGCCACCCUGUGCUGUUUUCCUUUUGCACGAUUUUCGUUGCCAAACAAGCAAAUAAUAUUUCGCCAAGAAAGAGGAGAGUGAAUGUGGAAUGCAUCAAGUCCCAUCAAGGAUGGCAGAGAAGAAAUAGAAGAUUGCCCAACUGUGAUAAACAUAGCAUACACGUAGCACCAGGAACUUCAUUUACUUCCAUCUAAUGGAACAUAACAAUCUUCUAAAGUUUUUGCAUGAUUUUGUUAUAUGUCUCUUAGCCUAAAGUUGGAAAUGCGCAACAAAUUUUGUCACUUCUCUAUUUCCCACUGAUGAUGUUAAUUAGCCUUCAUAGAUAUCAUCCUUUCUACAAAGUGCUUCAUUUGUGUGUUAUUGUAAAGUGUAAGAAAAGUAAUUGAACAUGUUCUUUUUCCUUUCAUAGAUGACUUUUGAUGUGCAUUUUAAAAGCAGCGCUGUGAGUCGGUGACCUUGAUUCACACGGAAACUAAGGCUCCUAUAGGACCCACUUUUAGCUGGUUAGGGGUGAAGAAAAUAUCAACUUUUCAGAGUGAUUUAAGUCAAGGCCAAGCCUCACUGUGUCAUUACUCGUGUGAAUUUUAUAUGCACAUACAUACAUAAAUAAAGUAUGAGACCCAAAUAACACCUUCCCUUUACAAACUUAACCCCAGCCGCUCUCUUUCAAUUCUUUUCACACAAGGGUAUUGACUCUAUAAAGGUCAAGAAAAUCAUAAUUUCCUAGGGUUUACAAGGUAAUUGGCUUAAUGCUAAUGUGAAAACAUAAAAGAUAAUAGUAUAUUGUAAGCUAACGAAUAUUCUAUAGUUAUAAUUAUUUGUGAUGUGCAUAAAUAAAUCUUCAUAUAUAUAAUGGAACAAUGAAUAAAGAACCAAUGAAAAAAUACUAUAUAUCAUUGCUUGGCAUUUAAACCGUAUAUGCUGCUCUUUCUAGCUACUCCAUCCACUGAAAGACAACAAGGUAAUCCAUGUUAUAAUGAUAGAAGAUACUGUCUCUAGGCUUUUUGUGAUGAAAAAUAUAAGAUAUGGGUAGGGUUGACCCUUGUAUGUUUGUCCUAUAAACACUUCAAAGUAACAUAUUUUUCUUCUUUAGCAACUCAUAAUGAUGGGGUUCAUUUGCAUGUCACUGAGUUGAAAAGUUGGACAAUUGCCCAUGUCGCCUUCCUCCUAGAUUCCGUAGUUCACGGGAAGGUAACUCAAGUUUGACAUAUUUUGAAUUCUUUUCACUCGGACGUCUUCAUAACCUGACAAAACAAAAAUGAAAAACAGAGGAUUGGUAUAUUAUUCAUGGUAAGCCUCAAAUUAUAGUAGUAUGAGAAAGGAGAAAAAGAUUUUGGGAACUCCAAUCUGGAUAAUUCUCGUUUCUUCUCUUGAAUAAAAAUUUCACUUACCUAACUUCGUUUGGAGAAAUGGCAUAUUUUAAUUUUGUACGUCAUUGCUAAUAAAUGGAGCAAUUUAGCAUGUUUUGUGACUGAAACUGCAAAUGUCCAAUUGGCAUUUCUUCAUUUCCCACUUAGGAUCUGAUCUUGUAGACCAUAUAACGAUAUGUAUCUGUGCAAGCAUUGAAAACUAAUGUGAACUAUGAGGAGUUACAAGCCACUGGACUGUAGAGCGAGUGCCAAGAUUUAAAUCUUCAGGCUCUAUCUGGGUAAGGGGAGGAUAGCGACCUAACCUUUUACCAAAGGCUUAGAAUUUAGACUUUUGGAAAAAAAUUUCUCAUGUUUUGGCUGGAUUUCUUGUGCUUGGCGCAAAAAGGAGAUGGCCUCAAGAAAUAGCAGACUCACUUUUGUUUUCAGCCCUUAAUAAUUCUCCACUGCUUUCCAUAACUACAUGGGUUAUACAUGCAGUCUGCUGCAAUAUUCCAGUUAUAUUUAUUAUUUCAAAGAGGGUGAAUGACUUCACAUGCAAUAUGUUGCAGUAACAACCCAAAUUUUGGCACACCAUCUUAAGAAUAGAAAAGUAUAAUAAAAGAAAUCAAUCAGAGAAUCACUUUGCAUGCAGUUCAUAGAGUUCGCCCAAAAUGGAGCCACAUGUACGGACAACCCCACAAUAGACAAUCUUCUCUAUACAGUAAUAAAAUACAGAAAUGGUUAAUGAAGCUCUGUAUUUCCUUAUCAUAUAUGACCGGUUGAAAACUCAGCAAGUCUUCCUCAAUCACAGACAGUUGGAGUUGCUUCAUCAAAAUCAUGCCUUCAUUACUGGCUUCAUUUUGGUUUCAAUGUCUGUUCUACCCUUAAAUUGGGUCUCUGCUUACUACCGGGAUAUCCUUUAGCGUCCUGCAAUUCUACUAGAUUAAAGAGAAUGACUUAAUUCUGCAUUCUGCCGUCCCUAGUCCAAGUGGUACUAGAAUUGAUGUUUCCUUUAGUGUCCUUUCUUCAUACUUUCAGGUUCUUCCCUUGUUUCAAUAAUGCUGUUUUCCUUCAUGUUUAACCUCUGUUGAACCACUUAAAACAACACAAUUUGCACACCAAUGUUUCUUUACAGAAAAGACUGUUUGCAAAAAUGCACAUGUUAUAAGGUUAAUGGAAGAAUUAAUUUGGGGAUAAGGGACUAGGAUUGGGCCAAUGAAGUUUGGUGUUAAAUUUUGAUUAUGAUUGCUUUUCAUUAUCAGGUACCUUAUAUUUGCUGAUGCUAUCUGGAACUAAAUUCAAAUCAGACAUUAUCCGAUUACUAACAGGACAUAUCAUGUCCCUCUGCAGAGUUUCUAAACUAACAUGUAUCGAAAUGUGGCCCCAAAAGGAAGGCUAGGAAGAUGGAGGAUUUUGUAGGAAUCGACCAGAAUCAGAUGGAAGAGAGAUAGUCCUGUUGACUUUAAUGGUUGUGAUAGGAACAUGCAUCAUUAUAUGAGAAGUUGCAUGAAUUUAUGUAUCCUGUUAUCGUUCCUUGACGAUUUCCCAAUGCAAUUUCACUGUCCACAAGACUAACCUCUCCAUGCAGUCAAAUGAAUUGUAAUUUCUCUAUUGGUACCAGUAGUACAUUUCAUACCAAACAUAUAGUAAAUAUAAAAUAUAAAUAGAUCAAGGAAAUCUGAAUUGUAGAUAGCACUGCAAGUAACACUCAAUAUUCUCUAUAUAUAAUAAAAUAAACAGUGUCACAAUACUCAUCACCCAGUGGCAAGGGAGAAAAACCUACAAUGAGUACUCAAAUCACCAUUCUCAAACAGAAACAUAGCAGUGACUGAUACAUAGAACCUAUAUGCUCACAGGGAAAGAAUAAGAUGACCAGUGCACAGCGGGCAGCAGCUCUUAUUUUACGUACAACUCAAAUCCCAAACUAACCAAAGUCGCUCAGUUGGGAUGGGUGGGAGAUGGUGGUUUGUGGGAUGGCUUCUGGGUAGGAGCUGGUGGCUUCUGUCCCUUUGGUGGUUUGCCUAAUGAGCUUGGUGGCUUGUGCUCCGGGAGUUGUUUCUCUCCCUCGAGUAGGUUUCGAGUCUUGUCAGAUGGCUUGUGUUCUGGUGGUGGCUUCUCUCCCUGGGGUGGUUUGCCGAAUGGGCUUGGUGGCUUGUGUUCGGGGAGUGGCUUCUCUCCCUGGAGAAGGUUACGAGUUUUGUCAUAUGGCUUUUGUUCUGGUGGUGGCUUCUCUCCCUGGGGUGGUUUGCCGAAUGGGCUUGGUGGCUUGUGUUCGGGGAGUGGCUUCUCUCCCUGGAGAAGGUUACGAGUUUUGUCAGAUGGCUUGUGUUCUGGUGGUGGCUUCUCUCCCUGGGGUGGUUUGCCGAAUGGGCUUGGUGGCUUGUGUUCGGGGAGUGGCUUCUCUCCCUGGAGAAGGUUACGAGUUUUGUCAGAUGGCUUUUGUUCUGGUGGCGGCUUCUCUCCCUGGGGUGGUUUGCCAAAUGGGCUUGGUGGCUUGUGUUCGGGAACUGGCUUCUCUCCCUUGGGAGGUUCAGUUGGUGGCUGCUGUUCCGUAGGUGGUUUCUUCACCGGCGGCUUGUGCUCCGGAAGCGGCUUCUCUACCUGGAGAAGCUUACGAGUUUUGUCCGAUGGCUUGUGUUGUGGUGGUGGCUUCUCUCCCUGGGGUGGUUUGCCAAAUGGAGUUGGUGGCUUGUGUUCGGGGAGUGGCUUCUCUCCAUUGGGAGGUUUAGUUGGUGAUUGGUGUUCCGUAGGUGGUUUCUGAAGUGGGGGAUGCUUGGGGUAGUCAGCAAGAGACGAGGUAGUGAGAACCACCAGUCCCAGCAGCAACACUAGCAAGCAUGUGGAAGACAUCUUUGAGUUCAGGCUGAGAUCUGUGCAAGGAUAACAGAAUUAGGUGGCCUUUUAUAGAGGCCUGGACCCAACACCCAUAUGACACGUGUCAUGCACUCAUGGUGACACAUAAUUCUAUGGGACCAUUUGGGUCCUACAGAAGUUGCAAAGUUGGACUACUGAGGUGUGAUCACAACUUUUGUCCUUAUUGCUUUCUCUGCGGCCAUUGCACGAUUUCCUUUAGCAUCAUUUUCUUGGCUAAAUAAGCGUAUUAUAUUUGUGGCAGACCGUCCACGUGUCAUAAACAGAUAUAUUAUAAUAAUGUAGUAUGCUUUUCUCCAAUGGAACAUGACACUCUUCUAAGUCUUGUUUUAAAUAUUGUGCAGGAUUACUUUAUACGUUGCAGUUCCAAGUCAAAAUUGGUGGGCAAACGUUGGCCUUUUUUCAUUUCACCUAAGAUUAAUGCUCACCUGGGAUAGGCACUACAUGACUUAUCUGCUCUUUUACUGUAAAGUUGCUUUGUGUAUGAGAUACACCUCCCCUGCACACCCUCAACAUUCGUUGCUCUGUUUUCCUUGUGUCCAGACGAGGAUAUUAAUUGGAGGCUGACAAAACGACUGCUAGCCCAGGAUUUACAAGGUCCUGGUUUGAGGCUUCGGUGAAAGUAUUUUUGAAAAGACACACAUAGAGAUAGUGCGUUUGGUGCAAUGCAGCACUGUGAGCCAUUCUGACGCGUUCUUAAUUUCAAAACUAAUGAAUGCUUCAAAAUUUUAAGAAGUGACAUUUCCAAAUAUUUGAGUUCGUUUAAUUGAACAUUGGAUAACUAGUGAUCAUAGAUUAUUAUCUGUGCUUGGCACUAUAAGAGGGUAUAUGCUUCUUUUUCUGGCCCCUCCUUCAAGGGAGGAGGGACAAUGUGAUCUGUAACGUUAGAAGCUAUUCCAUGUCAUCUUUGGGCUCAGUUCAAAACUAAAAGAUAAUGGGGGGGGGGGGGGGGGGCAUAUCAUUUUAUAUUUCUUCUAGAAGGUUUGUUCUGGAAAUAUUUCACAGGAGCAUAUCUUUUUCUUCUAUUACGUCAUCCGCAGCCUCCAAUAGGUCGGUUAACAAGCCACCGAGUUGAAAAGUUGGAAAAAUGGGAACACAGCCCGCCUCUUGUAUUCAGUAGUUAAAUAAAAGGUCACUAGAAGUGAGAUCCCUUUUGGCGUCUUGAUUUUCAAUCCAGCACCUCUGUGACCUGACAAACCAAAAAAACUAAAAAAUAAAAAACAGUACGUGGGUUGGUGUUAAGCAUCAAGACAUGUUAAUGAAAGAAGGUAGAGAAUAGGAUAUUGAAAUCCCAAUCCUGAUAACAUGAUUUUCUUUGCUAACAACCAUAUUAUAUUUUAUCAAGAAAGAGUAAUGCAUGUGGCGUCCAUCAAGACCCAUUAGAGUUCCGCUAAAGCUAUAGUUCUGUCAACGUUAUCAUUUACGUUUCCUCUAGAUAAUGGCAUUUUCCUCUAAAGCUCUUGCACCAUUAGGCUUCAAGUCAAAAUUUCACAUGUGAACUUUGGAAAUUUUCUCCAUUUGCCCCUAAGGAUACAGUUAGAAUUGACUUAAAAUCCUGAUUGAUAUGUACUAUUAACCAAAGAAUAUUGUAUAUAAUAAUUGAAAUAUUGUUGAUUCAUCGUGGAAAUACAUUUUGUAAGGAAAGUUGUUGAGAAUUUAGUAUGCUAUAUGGAGAAAAAAGUCAUGACUUAAGGUUGUGUAUGUAUAUUCUAUAUCAAAUAUUAGGUAGGAAUGUGGGAAAGAGCAGAGUGUAAUGAUAAGAAACAAAGAAAUAUAAGAUAUUCUUGAAAGUGGAAAAUAUAAAAUGGCUAACGAGUCAAAUUUAUGAUGCGUAAGGGGGAUCAUGUCACAUAAGAAAACCAUGGCAUACUAAAGACGUACGUGUGGUAUGGAGUAAUAAUUUUGUUAAAAUAAGUUUCUUGUUGGAGUACAUUAGGUGACUAUUCAUAACGUAUCAAAUUAAAGAGUCAAGUGCAUCAAUGAAGGCAUAUGUAGAAAAUUUGUUUGUGACAUGUACCAUAAAGAUAAGAUUGACUUGAUAGAAUUUAGUCUAAGUAGGAGUUGUUAAAGGUGUCUUAAAUUUCUAAUUGAUGUAUAUUUUUUUCUAAAAAAAUAUUAUAUAGAUAUUUUAAUAAAUGAUUAAUUCUUUGUAAAAAUACUUACAUAAUAAAAAACAUCAUUAAAAAUAUCUUUAUAAAUAUUUUAAGUUACAAGAAGGAAAAAAACCACUGUGAGAUAAUGAUGAACAUGCAACACUGUACCAAGUAAAUAAAAAUGUGAUAAAAAAAAAAGAGAAACACUCGAUAAAGGAAGGCUCGUAUAUAAAGAGUAAUAUUUUUAAUCAUAUGAUAGAAUGAUUUUCUCUCAUUCAUGAAUAUAGGCAAGAUUGGGGAACCAUUAUAAAAUUUUGUACACCUCGUGUAAAUUGAUGUUUGUCUUCAUAUUUUACACCAACAAAUGACAUUGAAGUUGUCAUUGAUAAAAGGGAAAAGGCAUGCCUCCACACCAUGUGCUUGAUUCGAAUGGUUCAAGUUUGAAGAAUUUUCUCCGGAAGAUCUAAAACAUUUUCGCCUUUAAAUUUCAUUUGAUUAUUAAUAUCCGAAAAAAUAGUUAAAUACUCUUUCUAUUUUUGAGUUGUUGAAUUUUUUGAAAGUUUUUAUAUUUGUUAUCAAGAAUUUCUAUUUUAUUAAGGGUGAAUAUUUAUAAAUAAGAUAUUAUAUAAUAUUUGGAUAAGAGAGAAUGGUGGAAUAUAAUAAAGUUUUAAUCCUUCCCAAUUUUGAACCUUUUUUUUUUUUUUUGAUAUAAUCGCCUUUCUCUUGCAAUCCUAUUAUCAGGUACCUUAUAUUUGCUGAUGCUAUCUGGAACUAAAUUCCAAUCAGGCAUUGUCCAAUUACUAAUAGGACAGAUCAUAUCUCUCUGUUUCUAAACUAACAUGUAUCGUAAUGUGACCUCAUAAGGAAGGCUAGGAAGAUGGAGGAUUUUGUGGGAAGCGACCAGAAUCAGAUGGAAGAGAGAUAGCCCUGUUGACCUAAUGGCUGUAAUAGGAGAAGCGUGUGGUUUUAUGGGACUUAACUGAUACUAAACCUGUAUGAUGCUUGGAGUGGUGUUUCUUUCAUUUUGUUAAGAAAAUAUGGCAGCAUACAUGCUUUCAACUGAGUGCAUCAGAGCAUCCAUAACAGAUGGUCUGCAACCCUAGGUGCAUGCCACUUUCUGACUGAUAAUGAAAUUGUCAGGUACCUGGCCUUGACUAAGCUCAACAGCAUCACAUAAAGAGAAGCUUUCAUACUUAGAUUACUGUUUAAAGUUUUUGCUUAUUUGAUUUCUUAAUGCCAUUAUGACAUUAUUGAUUCAAUUCUGCUUCCGAUUUUCGAAGUUCUGGGCAUCUACUGAUUGCAUCAUUAUAUGAGAAGUUGCAUGAGUUUAUGUAUCCUGUUAUUGUUCCUUUGCGAUUUCACUGCUCACGGGACUAACCUCUCCAUUCAGUCGAAAUGAAUUGUAAUUUCUUUACUGGUAGCAGUAGUACUUUUCAUAGCAAAGAUAAUAGAAAAUAUGAAAUAUAAAUAGAAGGAAAUCUGGAUUGUAGAUAGCACCAUAAGUAACACUCAAUAUUCACUACAUAAUAAAUAGACAGUGUUACAUAGGUAGAGAAACCUACAAUGAGUACUCAUCACCAUUCUCAAACAGAAACAUAGCAGCGACUUAUACAUAGAACCUAUAGGCUCGCAGGGAAAGAGUAACAUGAUAAGUUCACAGCGGGUAGCAGCUCUUAUUUUACGUAUUACUCAAAAUCUCAAACUAACCAAAGUCACUCAGUUGGGAUGGGUAGGAGAUGGUGGUUUGUGGGGUGGCUUCUGGGUAGGAGCUGGUGGCUUCUUUGUUGGAGUUGAAGGAGGCAUAUUCUUCUGAGGUGGCUUGUAUGACUCUUCGGCACUCUCUGCAGGAGGGUGCCCAGGGUUGUGACCAGAAGGAGGUGGCUUCUGUCCCUUUGGUGGUUUGCCUAAUGGGCUUGGUGGCUUGUGCUCCGGGAGUUGUUUCUCUCCCUCGAGUAGGUUUCGAGUUUUGUCAGAUGGCUUGUGUUCUGGUGGUGGCUUCUCUCCCUGGGGUGGUUUGCCGAAUGGGCUUGGUGGCUUGUGUUCGGGGAGUGGCUUCUCUCCCUGGAGAAGGUUACGAGUUUUGUCAGAUGGCUUUUGUUCUGGUGGCGGCUUCUCUCCCUGGGGUGGUUUGCCAAAUGGGCUUGGUGGCUUGUGUUCGGGAACUGGCUUCUCUCCCUUGGGAGGUUCAUUUGGUGGCUGGUGUUCCGUAGGUGGUUCCUUCACCGGCGGCUUGUGCUCCGGAAGCGGCUUCUCUACCUGGAGAAGCUUACGAGUUUUGUCAGAUGGCUUGUGUUGUGGUGGUGGCUUCUCUCCCGGGGGUGGUUUGCCAAAUGGACUUGGUGGCUUGUGUUCGGGGAGUGGCUUCUCUCCAUGGGGAGGUUUAGUUGGUGGUUGGUGUUGCGUAGGUGGUUUCUGAAGUGGGGGAUGCUUGGGGUAGUCAGCAAUAGACGAGGUAGUGAGAACCACCAGUCCCAACAGCAACACUAGCAAGGAUGUUGAAGACAUCUUUGAGUUCAGGCUGAGAUCUGUGCAAGGAUAAAAGAUUUAGGUGGCCUUUUAUAGAGGGCUGGACCCAACACCCAUAUGACACGUGUCAUGCACUCAUGGUGACACAUAAUUCUAUGGGACCAUUUGGGUCCUACAGAAGUUGCAAAGUUGGACUAUUGAGGUGUGAUCACAACUUUUGUCCUACUUGCUUUCUCUGCGGCCAUUGCACGAUUUCCUUUAGCAUCAUUUUCUUGUCUAAAUAAGCGUAUUAUAUUUGUGGCAGACCGUCCACGUGUCAUAAACAGAUAUAUUAUAAUAAUGUAGUAUGCUUUUCUUCAACGGAACUUGACACUCUUCUAAGUCUUGUUUUAAAUACUGUGCAGGAUUACGUCAUAAGUUGCUUGUUCCAAGUCAAAAUUGGUGGGCAAACGUUGGCCUUUUUUCAUUUUCCCUAAUAUUAAUGCUCACCUGGGAUAGGCACUACAUGAUUUAUCUGCUCUUUUACUGUGAAGUUGCUUUGUGCAUGAGUUACACCUCCCCUGCACACCCUCAACAUUUGUUGCUCUGUUUUUCUUGUGUCCAGACGAGGAUAUUAAUUGGAGGCUGACAAAACGACUGCUAGCCAAGGAUUUACAAGGUCCUGGUUUGAGGCUUUCACGAAAGUAUUUUUGAAAAGAUACACAUAGAGAUUGCGCGUUCGGUGCAAUGCAACAAUGUGAGCCAUUCUGAAGUCUUAAAUUUCAGAUUAAUGAAUGCUACAAAAUUCUAAGAAGGGCCGUUUCCAAAUAUUUGAGUUCAUUCAUCCGAACAUCGGGUAUAUGCUUCUUUCUCUAGCCCCUCCUUGAAGGGAGGAGGGACAAUGUGAUCUGUAUCGUUAGAAGCUAUUCCAUGUCGUCAUCUUUGGGCUCAGUUCAAUACUAAAAGAUAUGGGCGGGGCCCUUAUCAUUUUAUAUUUCUUCUAGAAGGUUUAUUCUGGAAAUCUUUCACAGAAACAUAUCUUUUUCUUCUCUACGUGAUCCGUGGUUUGAAAGUUGGAAAAAUGGGUCCGUUAACAAGCCACCGAGUUGAAAAGUUGGAAAAAUGGCAACACCGCCAACCUCUUGUAUUCGAUAGUUAAAUAAAAGGUCACUGGAAGUGAGAUCCCUUUUGGCCUCUUGAUUUUCAUUCCAGCAUCUCUAUGGCCUGAUAAAUUAAAAAACUAAAAAAAAAGACAGUACGUGGGUUGGUGUUAAGCAUCAAGAGUCAAGACAUGAUAAUGGAGAGAAAGGAUAUUCAAAUUCCAGUUCUGACAACAUGAUUUUCUUUGCUGAACUACCAUAUUAUAUUUGAUCAAGAAAGAGUAGUGCAUGUGGCCAGGAUCAAGACAUACAUUAAUUUCCACAUGAUGAAGACAGUUUCUGAGAGUUUCUUCUAAAGCUCUUGCGCGAGUAGGCUUCAAGUCAAAAUCUCCCAUGUAAACACUGGUUUUUCUUUCAUUGCCACUAAGGAUGCAGUUAAUAUUGACUUAAGAUCCUACGUGAUAUAUUUUUUUAAAAGAGCUAUAUUGUAGAUAAUAUUUGAAAUAAUGUUGAUUCGUUGUGGAAAUAUAUUUGUAAGGAAAGUUGUUGACAAUUUAAUAUAGUAUAAGAAGAAAAAAGUUAUCAACUAGCUAGAGAUGAGUAUGUAAAGUGAGGCUCACGAUUCAACGCGUAAAUAUAAGAUAUUUUAAGGCUCAAUAGUUAUGAUAUCUAUUUUAUUUUUUGUAUCUCAUAUAUUCAAAGAUAUAGUAAAAUGAUUUUACAUAUAUAUAUAUAUAUAUAUAUGAACAUAACUAUUUGUGCCAAUUGAUUUUUAUCUUUAUUUUGUAUAUUAGUAAUUAUAUUAAAGUUUUUACUAAUAUAAUAACUAAUAUAAAAGCUUUUUCUAAAAGAGUCAACAGAGCAAAACACUUAUUAUAAAAAAUAAUUUUGAUUGAAGGUGGAGUCAAUUAUUCUUUAUUUAACAUGUAAUGCAUACGGCGUGUACUUCAUAACUAAAGUAUAUAAGUGUAACAUCUCUUAUAUAUUCUCAUUCAAUCUCGAAAGUGGAAAUUUUAAAAAGAUUAAACGGUUCAAAUUUGUCGUGCAUAAAGGGGAUCAUGUCACAUAAGCAAACCAUGGCAUACCAAAGACAUAGGUAUGGACUAAGAAUUUUUUUCAAAUAAGUUUCUUAUUAGGGUACAUUAAUAGGUGACUUUUUAUGACAUAUCAAAGGAGUCAAGUGCACCAAUAAAAACAUAUAUAGAAAAUUCAUGCAUGACAUGUAUCACUAAGAGAAGAUUGACUUGAUAGAGUUUAAUCCAAAUAGGAGAUUGUUAAAAGGUGUCUCAAAUUCUUGAUUGAUAUAUAUUUUUUUUAUUAAAAAGGUUAUUAUAUAGAUAUUUCAAUAGACUAUUAAUUCUUUGUAAAAAUAGUUAUAUAAUGAGGAUGGUGAUUAAAAAUAUCUCUAUCAAUAUUUUGGAUUAUAAAAAGAAAAAAAAUGAGAUAAUGAUAAACAUAUAAAACUUGUACAAGUAGAUAAAGAUGUGAUGAAAGACACUUGAUGAAUGAAGGCUUUGUAUUUCAAGAUAUAAAUAUAUGGAGCAAAACUCUUAAUUAUAUGAUCAAAUGAUUCUCUCAUAUUCAUGAAUAUAAGCAGGAUUGGGGAACCAUGAUAGAAUCUUAUAUGCCUCUCCAUGUAGAGUGAUCGAUGUUUAUCUUCAUAUUUUACACCAGUGAAUGACAUUGAAACUCUUAUUGAUAAAAGGGAAAAGGCAUGGCCUCCACCCCAAGAAAAACAAGUAACCUCGGUUUAAAUCACUAGUCUACACCCCGAAGAGAGAACUAGCCAAACCUACUAAAAGAGAAACUUAACAAUUUAGAAAGAAACCGUCCAUGAUAAAGGGCCCCUAAAGGUCCAAUUCAGUGAGGUCGUGAACAAAAACACUUUCAUGUCAAAACAGAGAUAGGUACCACCAAAAUGUAAAGGGAAAGAUGUAAACCACGUCGAACUUUGGUAAUCAAUGGUAAAGAUAGCAUGAUAGCUAAAAGCACUAAAGCUGUGCUUGGUAUGCAAAAAUGAAAAGUGGAAAUCAGCGUCUUAUUCUUUUUCACCUUUAUUCACAUAUUAGGAUAACUAAUAUCUAAUGUUUUUUAUGUCUCAAAUUCUAUUCCAUGUUAUGGUAAACUUUCAUCUUGUUUAGAUCACUUUUGUCUGGUUUGGGCUCAAGACGAUAAGCCUAUAGAGACUUCAUAUUGGGUUGAAUCGAUGCCCUUGAUCUGAUCUGUUCGUUAGAAAAAUCUGAAUUAUUAUAAGCAUUUAGAUAAAAAAUAAAUAAAUGUGAAACACAAACUACUCCCUGCACAACCUUGACCCUAGUUACUCAGUUUCACUGCUCACAGGACUAACCUCUCCAUUCAGUCGAAAUGAAUUGUAACAAGAAGAUUUUUGACAGGAGGACGGUAGUUUAAAAUAAUAAUUUCUAAAGUACUUUUGUGAAAAAAAAUAAUUCCAAACGUGGAUUUUAUCAAGUAAAAAGAAAAAAAAAAGUUAUUUUCUUUUAAAAUCUGUUCUUCUAAAGAUGAUAUAUAUACCAAAAAAAAAAAUUGUUUUCUGAAGGUAAAAUUUUUAAAAUUCAUUUUUAAAAAAAUUUACACACUAAAAUUAUCUUUUCAAGAGAAGAUUUUUUUAAUUUUAAAUAAUUAUUAAUUUAUAAUUAAUUUGUUAUUAAUUAUUUAUUAAUUUUUUUAUUUGAAAAAUGCAUUUAUAAAAAACAAAUUUGUUAUUAAUUUAUUAAAUAAUUUUUACAAAAUAAAUAAUUUUUUUUUAUUUUAAUUUUAAAAUUAAUUUUAUUAUAUAAAUUUUAAAAUUAAAAAUAUUAAUAUUUAAUUUAAAAUUUAACUAUAAAAGGAAUAAAAUAUAGAAAAAUAAAUUAAUUUAUUAUUCAAUAAAUUAAUUUUCAAUAAAAUUUUCAGCAUUAAGAGAUAAAUUUUUAAGUAUUAAUCAAUUUAAAAAGAAAUAAUGAUCAUUUGUAUAUUAAGAUAUUUUAUUUAGUAAUUAUGAAUGAUAAACAACUAAAGUAAUUUGAAAAAAUAAUAAAAUAUUUAAAAAAUAAUAAUUUAAUACACGUAAAAUUAGAAAUGAUUAACUAUUUUUUAUUAAGAAAAAAUUGAGGAAAUAUUUUGUUAUUUAAAAUUUUUUAUUUGUUUUCAAUUUUUAAUGUUAUAGGUUUCAAGAAAAUUGAUCAAAUAAAAAUUAAGAAGUCAUUUUUUCAAAAACUAUAUAUCUAAAUAAAAGCCUUGAAAUUCAAAUACACAAUAUCAUAAAUAUAAACACCAAGUCAAUCCUUAAUUAUCAAAUGUUUUUAAUAUUAAAGAAUCAAAAUCACCUACUAUCAUGAUAAUAAGAAAACCAAUAAUAUUGUUCAUAUAAAUACUAAAAAGCUAACAAAUAUCCCAAACAAUUAAUAAAGUAUCAAACAUGAUAAAAAGUCAAUUAUUAUCAUGAAUGCAAAAAAUCAAUAAUUUUGUUUAUAUGAACCAUCAACAAAGAAAAAAAAAAUCAAUAUCUAAAUAUUAAACAUAAUUUAUAUUUUUAUAAAUAUUAUUGUUGAUAAAUAUCUUAACAAUUAUAAUUUUAGUAAAUAAAAUUAAUUAAUUUUAGUUUAAGAAUUAUUUUUUUAUACUUUCGUAUUCUUAUCAAAAAUCCCCAUUUUGCAUGUCUCCUUUGGCAUGACUUUCUUACCUAAACAAGCAUAUAUAUAUAUAUAUAUAUAUAAAAUAUUUGGUUAAGAAAGAGUACUAAAGUUUAUAUGGCACACAUCAAGAUAGAAACAGAAGUGGAAGAUAAUCCAAAUGUAUGAACAGAUAUAUUAUAUCCAUGUAGUGGUAGUGACUUCAUUAUUUACUUUUAUCUAAUGGAGCAUGACACACUUCUUCUGAAUAUUUUGCACGAUUAUGUUAUGUGUCAGCUUGUUCUAAGUCAAAACUAGUGAUAAAAAUCGGUUUUUUUUGCAUUUCCUUCAUGAAGAUGGCACCUGGAUGGGGCACUACAUGAGUGGCAUAGCACGAAGUGAUUUAUCUGCUCCCUUUACUAUAAAGUGCUUUGUGUAUAAGUUACACCUCCCCUGCACUGCCUCAACAUUUGUUGUUCUGUCUUCCGUCUGUCCAAACGAGGACAAACGUAUGUUGUAGGUUGACAAAACCACAGCUAGCCUAGGAUUUGCAAGGAUCUAGUUUGAUUCGUAUGCAAAAGGAUUGGUGAAAAGAUUCACAAAGAUAAUGCUUUUUGCAAUGCAAUCUUGUUCUAAUUCAACAGUGUGGACCAUUUUCAUGUAAUGCUUCAACUAGAUGUCAGUUUCAUGAAUUUUUGUUCAUCUAAUUGAUCACUGGAUAGGCCAUAACCCGAAGAAAUUCAAAAUUCCCUUCAGUACUGUAGCUAAGGAAAGAUCCCUAUCUACCACUGGGAUUUUAAGAGGGUAAAAAUGUAGGUGGGUGCCUAUAUCAUUUGCACUUCACUAUAGGCCUCUUUGGGAAGAUUUCUUCUGAAGACAUUUCAAAGAAACAUAUUUUUCUCUUCUCUCCGUAAACGGCAGCUGCAAGUCAGUCCAUUCACAGGCCACCGAGUUGAAAAGGCUGGAAAAUUGGCCAAAGCACCCGCCUCCUGGAUUCCAUGGGUAAGGAAAAGGUCACUGGAGGUGUGAUCCCUGUUGGCCUCUUGAUUUCCAUUCCGCCAUCUAUAUGACCUGAUAACCCAAAAACACAGAAGGAAAACGUCACCUGGGUUCAUAGUAAGCAUCAAGUCAUGAUAGAGACCAGACAACAUGACCAACAAAGAGUAGCGAAUGGGGCCAACAUCAAGCCCCAUUACGGUUAGAAGAUGGAAGAAGUAGAAGACAAUCCAAUUCUGAUAGAUUCGGGCAAAUGUAGUGCUGUUCAAACUUAAUCAUUUACUAUUUCUUCAUGAAUCACGGCAUUUUUCUUCUGAAAAUUUUCCAAGAUUAGGCCUCUGAAGAAAAAUUUCAUAUGUAAAUUGGUAUAUUAAGGAAAAGGCGUUACAAAGGUGAAAAAAAACCAAUCAAAUCUUAUAUAUGACAUCUCAAAAAUAUGAACUUGCUAUAAAUAUUUAAAAUCAAAAUCUUGCACAUCACCUCGUAGUACGAACUUGCUAUAAAACUUGAAAAUCAAGAAGAAAGGGGCAGUAUUGGACGAGACUACUUAGCACAUAUUAUUAUGAUGUUUUUUCAUUUUCUUAAUGUUGUUUUUAUGUCUUAAAUUCUAUUAUUCUAUGUUACGGUAAACAUUCAUCUUGUUUGUGUGGAAUAGGAUCACUUUUCUCUGGGUUGAGUCGAUGCCCUUAGUUAAUUUGUUCAUUUGAAUAAACUAAAUUAUUAUAAGUAUUUAGAUAAGAAAAACGUGAUACAUAAAUUACGCCUCUCGGCACAACUUCAACACUGGUUACUCUGUUUCAGUUUCCUCACACAAGAUUAUUGGUUCUAGGGUUUAUUUGGUUUUGGUUUGAUUCUAAUUGCUAAACUUUCUCAAGGAAGAUGUUAUAUAGGGAGUGAGAAACCUUCACUCUUGGCUACCUCCAAGAGAAGAGCAAGUGGUCUGAAUCAAAGAUAUACUGCUCACUUUUUCUUCUUCUAAGGACAGCUAUGACCUUGCUUUAAGGUUCGAAUAGCCUAAUGCAACCUCCCAUUUCUCAAGUCAGCUGAUGAUGUAAGUCACCUUGGCUUUCCACAUUCAUACGGUGAGGACGUUUGUGGGUGUAAUUCUCUUAACAGUUUUCAUUUUAUAUGGAAAAAUUCAUAAUUAAGGGUAAUUACUGAUUCCAUUUGACAGUGACCAAGUUUAAAAUAUUAAUUCAUAUAUUAAAUGCACAUUAAAAAAUCAUGGAAUAAAUAUAUUUACUAAUAUAUAGUUCUUUUGCCAUGUUCUGUCACAGAAGCAUCGAACUUUCCCUAGAAAUUUUUGCAUGGUAUUCUACUUAUGAUUUUGAAAACUCUAGGCACCUGAGGCCACUAAUUGCAUGGUUGGAUGAGGAGCUGCAUGAGAUUAUGUAUCGUGUUGUUCCUUAACUACAAAUAUCAGUUUUAAGUAGCAUCUCCAUGUGACAUUUUCCUGAUGCAAUUUCGCUGUCCACCAACAAAUUUCACCAUGCAGCAAGAUGAAUUGUAAUUUCUUUAUUGUUAUCAACAGCUUUAAUUAAUCUUGAUAUAUAUAUAUAACUUAGUAGAAGUAUAUUAAUCUAGAUUGUAGUUGCACUAAGAUAAUAGGCAAUAUUAUAACAGUGCCACAAUGCUCAUCGCCAAAUAGAAAGGUAGAAAAACUACAAUGAGUAACUCACAACAUUCUCAAACAGGACAUAGCGGCGACUGAUACAUAGAACACUAUUGGCACUCAGGAAAUGAUAAGAUCAGUGCCCAGCAGGCAGCACGUCUUAUUUUACAUACUACUUAAAACUAACCAAAGUCAUUCAGUUGGGAUGGGUGGGAGAUGGUGGUUUGUGCGGUGGCUUUUGGGUAGUUGGUGGCUUCUUUCCUGGAACUGAUGGUUUUUUUGUUGGAGUUGAAGGAGGCUUAAUCGUCUGAGGUGGCUUGUAUGAGUCUUCAGCACUCUCUGCGGGAGGGUGCCCAGGGUUGUGACCAUAAUGGGGUGGCUUCUCUCCCUUAGUUGGUUUGCCAAGUGGGCUGGCUGGCUUGUGCUCCGGGAGCGGCUUCUCUCCCUUAGGUGGUUUGCCAAAUGGGCUUGCUGGCUUGUGCUCUGGGAGCGGCUUCUCUCCCUCAAGAAGUUUACGGGUUUUGUCAGAUGGCUUGUGUUCUG
rnacentral:lncRNA from 1 species